rnacentral:tRNA from 2 species
GGAGAGGUGACAGAGUGGUCGAUUGUGCAGCACUGGAAAUGCUGUGUCUUCCGAAAGGGGGACCGGGGGUUCGAAUCCCCCCCUCUCCG